rnacentral:rRNA from 1 species
ACGGAAGGCAGCAGUGGGGAAUAUUGGACAAUGGGGGAAACCCUGAUCCAGCGACGCCGCGUGAGUGAAGAAGUAUUUCGGUAUGUAAAGCUCUAUCAGCAGGGAAGAUAAUGACGGUACCUGACUAAGAAGCCCCGGCUAACUACGUGCCAGCAGCCGCGGUAAUACGUAGGGGGCAAGCGUUAUCCGGAUUUACUGGGCGUAAAGGGAGCGUAGACGGCGAUGCAAGUCUGAUGUGAAAUGCGGGGGCUCAACUCCUGAACUGCAUUGGAAACUGUAUUGCUGGAGUGCCGGAGAGGUAAGCGGAAUUCCUAGUGUAGCGGUGAAAUGCGUAGAUAUUAGGAGGAACACCAGUGGCGAAGGCGGCUUACUGGACGGUAACUGACGUUGAGGCUCGAAAGCGUGGGGAGCAAACAGGAUUAGAUACCCUGGUA